GUGACAUUACAGUAACUGGAGAGAAACAUCUGUGCAAGGAUGAAGACAUUACAUGCAAUGCUGCUGAUGCUGUUUGUUGCAUCAGUCUUUUCAAAACCAUUUCAUUUGCGCAGAAGAUUUGAUUCAUCAGACUCUGUGCGAUCUAGAUUCAGUUCAGAGGAAAAUGAUUCAAGCAGAGAAGACAGGGAGGAUUCACAGUCGGAUGAGACAUCUGAAUCAAACGGGUCUAAAUCAAGUGAUUCUGACUCUUCGGAGGAAGAUAUCAGAGUUGUGUCAAGCACAUUCCCUCCAGCUAGCACAACAAGUCCAUCGACCGCUGGCAAGACAACAGCAACCCCAUCAACUACCACGGCACAAGACAUCACAAACUGUGUUACUGGAACAAGGGGUGAUGGUAAUGUUAUUAUAAUAUCUUGCGGUACUUCUGCUUAAUCAUCAGUUGAAUGUUUAAAGGUGUACAAUUCAUUACAAUUUACAUUAUAAAGUAAUGUUUAUGUGCCUUCAAAGUAAUGCAGGUC
rnacentral:lncRNA from 1 species